rnacentral:lncRNA from 1 species
ACCACCCCGUCCAUGUGCCUCAACCCUGACCUGGAGGGACCACCUCUAGAGGCCUAUACCAUUCAAGGACAGUAUGCCAUUCCACAGCCAGAUUUGACCAAGCUGCACCAGUUGGCAAUGCAACAGUCUCAUUUUCCCAUGACCCAUGGCAACACCGGAUUCAGUGCAGGUUUGGAUGCAUCUGCUCAAACUACUUCUCAUGAACUCACCAUUCCAAAUGAUAGUGGAAGGAUCUACUGAUCGGCAGGUUACCAUCACUGGAUCUGCUGCCAGCAUUAGUCUGGCUCAGUAUCUAAUCAAUGUCAGGCUUUCCUCGGAGACAGGUGGCAUGGGGAGCAGCUAGAACAGAGCAGAUUCAUCCAUAAUCCCUUUCUGCUGUUCACCACCACCCAUGAUCCAUCUGUGUAGUUUCUGAACAGUCAGCGAUUCCAGGUUUUAAAUAGUUUGUAAAUUUUCAGUUUCUACACACUUUAUCAUCCACUCAUGAUUUUUUAAUUAAAGUGUUUUAAUUCUUUUCUCUGUUCAGCAGUUACGCUGAGAUAUCCAUAUUUAGUUUUAUAAGCUUCUCCCCCUUUUUUGUUUUGUUUUGUUUUUUUUUUUUGGCUCAUGAAUUUUUGUUUGUCAUGGAAAUGUAAGAGUGGAUUAUUAAUACAUUUCAGUUUAGUUCUGUAAUGUCAGGAAUUUUUCAAAAA